AAUAUCUCGGUAAGGAUGCGCAGAAAGGAUUCCAAAAUACGUGACGAAGAGUCGACGUUUUAUUAUAGUUUUCAUCAACAGAUUAGCCCCUUUGGAACCAUCGAUACUCGAGAAUCGAGAUUCAGACAGUUUAUGGCCCUCAUAAAAGAAUCUAUUUGGUGUUUUCCGACGUGGGCCGAUGGAGCCCAAGCACAAGUCGAACAAAGAGAAGCAUCCUUUGCAGUCAGAAACUCUGAUGACGGGUUAUAGAAACAGUAAGGCUGGCCCGCUUCCGGAACCGAAUCUGUCAUUUGACGUACACGUGAGCUAGUCCAAGAUACUGGAGAUCGAGUUCACUAUCUGAACACGAAUUCUGCGAAUGGAGGGCUGUUUCUGCUAUUUAAUGCGUACUAAGGAAGAGCAUCGCAUUUUCAUUAUGUUAACAUACCGUUAAACAUCGUUUUCUUCACACAUUUAAUCGUGAUUAUACGAACGGAUAUAGGAAUAUACGAAUGGAUAUAGAGAGAAAAUAAAUUUUGUAUGGAUG